GCUCAGGAUGAACGCUGGCGGCGUGCCUAAUACAUGCAAGUCGAGCGAACAGAUAAGGAGCUUGCUCCUUUGAAGUUAGCGGCGGACGGGUGAGUAACACGUGGGUAACCUACCUAUAAGACUGGAAUAACUUCGGGAAACCGGAGCUAAUGCCGGAUAACAUAUAGAACCGCAUGGUUCUAUAGUGAAAGAUGGUUUUGCUAUCACUUAUAGAUGGACCCGCGCCGUAUUAGCUAGUUGGUAAGGUAAUGGCUUACCAAGGCGACGAUACGUAGCCGACCUGAGAGGGUGAUCGGCCACACUGGAACUGAGACACGGUCCAGACUCCUACGGGAGGCAGCAGUAGGGAAUCUUCCGCAAUGGGCGAAAGCCUGACGGAGCAACGCCGCGUGAGUGAUGAAGGUUUUCGGAUCGUAAAACUCUGUUAUUAGGGAAGAACAAAUGCGUAAGUAACUGUGCGCAUCUUGACGGUACCUAAUCAGAAAGCCACGGCUAACUACGUGCCAGCAGCCGCGGUAAUACGUAGGUGGCAAGCGUUAUCCGGAAUUAUUGGGCGUAAAGCGCGCGUAGGCGGUUUCUUAAGUCUGAUGUGAAAGCCCACGGCUCAACCGUGGAGGGUCAUUGGAAACUGGGAAACUUGAGUGCAGAAGAGGAAAGUGGAAUUCCAUGUGUAGCGGUGAAAUGCGCAGAGAUAUGGAGGAACACCAGUGGCGAAGGCGACUUUCUGGUCUGUAACUGACGCUGAUGUGCGAAAG
rnacentral:rRNA from 1 species